rnacentral:misc_RNA from 1 species
GCCGCCGGCUUCUGUGCCUCCGUACUGGCCAUGGCUGUGAUGGAACGGCAACCGGCUAACAAAGAGAGCUGCUGACCAAUCCGAGAUGAGAGCACGAACUCAGGUUGGAUGCAGCGAGCGUAGCGGCGGUGAGGAUAGAGGCCGAGGUGGGCGGCUUUGGUGGCGGCGAUGGCGGCCGGAGAGACCGACAGCUGCAGCAGCAUUCCCGGCGAG